rnacentral:rRNA from 1 species
GACAAACGCUGGCGGCGUGCUUAACACAUGCAAGUCGAACGGUUCUCCUUAGGGAGAAUAGUGGCGGACGGGUGAGUAACACGUAGACGACCUGCCUCGCAGUGGGGAAUAACGUCUCGAAAGAGACGCUAAUACCGCAUAAGCUCUCUGUCGUUGGGUAGAGAGGAAACUUUGGCGCAAGCCAGAGGCUAAGAGAGGGGUCUGCGGCGGAUUAGCUAGUUGGGUAGGUAACGGCUGCCCAAGGCGACGAUCCGUAGCUGGUCUGAGAGGAUGAUCAGGCCACACUGGGACUGAGACACGGCCCAGGACUCCUACGGGAGGCAGCAGUGGGGAAUUUUGGACAAUGGGGGCAACCCUGAUCCAGCCAUUCCGCGUGAGUGAAGAAGGCC